GAUGAACGCUGGCGGCGUGCCUAAUACAUGCAAGUCGAGCGAACGGACGAGAAGCUUGCUUCUCUGAUGUUAGCGGCGGACGGGUGAGUAACACGUGGAUAACCUACCUAUAAGACUGGGAUAACUUCGGGAAACCGGAGCUAAUACCGGAUAAUAUUUUGAACCGCAUGGUUCAAAAGUGAAAGACGGUCUUGCUGUCACUUAUAGAUGGAUCCGCGCUGCAUUAGCUAGUUGGUAAGGUAACGGCUUACCAAGGCAACGAUGCAUAGCCGACCUGAGAGGGUGAUCGGCCACACUGGAACUGAGACACGGUCCAGACUCCUACGGGAGGCAGCAGUAGGGAAUCUUCCGCAAUGGGCGAAAGCCUGACGGAGCAACGCCGCGUGAGUGAUGAAGGUCUGCGGAUCGUAAAACUCUGUUAUUAGGGAAGAACAUAUGUGUAAGUAACUGUGCACAUCUGGACGGUACCUAAGCAGAAAGCCACGGCUAACUACGU
rnacentral:rRNA from 1 species